GAAAAGAGGAAGAAUAAGAAGAAAACAACAACAACAAAUGGAACUCAGUGAUUGACAUACAGCUUUGCCAACUUGGACAUGCACUGCCCUUGAGAAAGCAAGUUGUUUGUGGUUUUAUUGUCAGAGCAAAGAACCAGAGUCCUGCAAGUCUCAGUUCCACUGGGACAGAGGCAACU
rnacentral:lncRNA from 1 species